AGAGUUUGAUCAUGGCUCAGAGCGAACGUUAGCGGCGGGCUUAACACAUGCAAGUCGAGCGAGAAAGGGGACUUCGGUCCCUGAUUAAAGCGGCGGACGGGUGAGUAACACGUGGGUAACCUGCCCUUCAGUGGGGGACAGCCACCUGAAAGGGUGGCUAAUACCGCAUACGUCAUGGAGCGCUGCGGCGGUCCAUGGGAAAGUCAGCCUCUGGAUAUGCUGACGCUGAAGGAGGGGCCCGCGUCGCAUCAGCUUGUUGGUGAGGUAACGGCUCACCAAGGCGAAGACGCGUAGCUGGUCUGAGAGGAUGAUCAGCCACACUGGGACUGAGACACGGCCCAGACUCCUACGGGAGGCAGCAGUGGGGAAUAUUGGACAAUGGGCGAAAGCCUGAUCCAGCCACGCCGCGUGAGUGAUGAAGGCCCUCGGGUCGUAAAGCUCUGUGGAGAGGGACGAAGAGAGCCCGGUUAAUAGCCGGGCAGGAUGACGGUACCUCUUUAGCAAGCACCGGCUAACUCCGUGCCAGCAGCCGCGGUAAUACGGAGGGUGCAAACGUUGCUCGGAAUCAUUGGGCGUAAAGCGCACGUAGGCGGUCUGGUAAGUCGGAUGUGAAAGCCCUCGGCUCAACCGAGGAAGUGCAUUCGAAACUGUCAGACUUGAGUACGGGAGGGGGUUGCGGAAUUCCCGGU
rnacentral:rRNA from 1 species